rnacentral:piRNA from 1 species
UUAAGGUGUUACCGGCAUCAGUGAAAAGCC